rnacentral:tRNA from 1 species
GGGGAUUUAGCUCAGUGGUAGAGUGCUUGCCUAGCAAGCACAAGGCCCUGGGUUCGAUCCCCAGCUCCA